rnacentral:rRNA from 1 species
AAUAGAUACCCUGGUAGUCCACGCCGUAAACGAUGAGUGCUAAGUGUUAGGGGGUUUCCGCCCCUUAGUGCUGCAGCUAACGCAUUAAGCACUCCGCCUGGGGAGUACGGUCGCAAGACUGAAACUCAAAGGAAUUGACGGGGGCCCGCACAAGCGGUGGAGCAUGUGGUUUAAUUCGAAGCAACGCGAAGAACCUUACCAGGUCUUGACAUCCCAUUGACCACUAUGGAGACAUAGUUUUCCCUUCGGGGACAGCGGUGACAGGUGGUGCAUGGUUGUCGUCAGCUCGUGUCGUGAGAUGUUGGGUUAAGUCCCGCAACGAGCGCAACCCUUGUUCUUAGUUGCCAUCAUUUAGUUGGGCACUCUAAGGAGACUGCCGGUGACAAACCGGAGGAAGGUGGGGAUGACGUCAAAUCAUCAUGCCCCUUAUGACCUGGGCUACACACGUGCUACAAUGGACGGUACAAACGGUUGCCAACCCGCGAGGGGGAGCUAAUCCGAUAAAACCGUUCUCAGUUCGGAUUGUAGGCUGCAACUCGCCUAC